rnacentral:lncRNA from 1 species
GAUCUUCUGUCUGGCUGGUGCUUAUUGACUGUGUAGGCUAAUAAAGAGCUGCAAUUAGUGUAAUUAGUAUUUGAUCCUUUGCAUAGCUAUUUCUUACACAUUCAAUACAACAAUAUCCAGUUACACUUCACACAAUUCUGAUAUUGUGUGUGUGGGGGGUCAGAAUAUGCCCCAGGAAACAGCAUGGAAAAUGAACAGAUCAUAAAGAAGAUCAUACAGGUACCUCAGCCAAUAGAUAUUCUGGGCUGAGUGAAUGGACUGGAUAGGGCUGAGUGACUGGACUGGAUAGGGCUGAGUGACUGGACUGGAUAGGGCUGAGUGACAGGACUGGAUAGGGCUGAGUGACUGGACUGGGUAGGGCUGAGUGACUGGACUGGAUAGGGCUGAGUGACAGGACUGGAUAGGGCUGAGUGAAUGGACUGGAUAGGGCUGAGUGACUGGACUGGAUAGGGCUGAGUGACAGGACUGGAUAGGGCUGAGUGACUGGACUGGAUAGGGCUGAGUGACUGGACUGGAUAGGGCUGAGUGACUGGACUGGAUAGGGCUGAGUGACUGGACUGGAUAGGGCUGAGUGACAGGACUGGAUAGGGCUGAGUGACUGGACUGGAUAGGGCUGAGUGACUGGACUGGAUAGGGCUGAGUGACUGGACUGGAUAGGGCUGAGUGACAGGACUGGAUAGGGCUGAGUGACUGGACUGGAUAGGGCUGAGUGACUGGACUGGAUAGGGCUGAGUGACUGGACUGGGUGAGUGGUCUGGAUAGGGCUGGGUGAAGGUGAAGUUAAUAUCAUACUUUUUAUUGAUGUGGGUAUAAUUCCCAAACCUCCUUUCCUGCUUACUGAAAGGCAGAUGUAGAAAAGGCAUAAUGCUGAGGAUACUACAUGAAUUGCUAUGGCAACUGGCCUACUUUUCUUAAUGCAUACCAACCUCCUUGUGAAUGUUUACCUUUAAACAGGUUAACAUACACAAGGCCGCAGGGCCAGACGGAUUACCAGGACGUGUACUGCGAGCAUGCGCUGACCAACUAGCAAAUGUCUUCACUGACAUUUCCAACCUCUCCCUGUCCGAGUCUGUAAUACCAACAUGUUUCAAGCAGACCACCAGAGUCCCUGUGCCCAAGAACACUAAGGUAACCUGCCUAAAUGACUACAGACCCGUAGCACUCACGUCUGUAGCCAUGAAGUGAUUUGAAAGGCUGGUCAUGGCUCACAUCAACACCAUUAUCCCAGAAACCCUAGACCCACUCCAAUUUGCAUACUGCCCCAACAGAUCCACAGAUGAUGCAAUCUCUAUUGCACUCCACACUGCCCUUUCACACCUGGACAAAAGGAACACCUAUGUGAGAAUGUUAUUCAUUGACUACAUGUAAUGCACUAGUUAGAAGAAGUGUCGGAGUCAGGCGCAGGACACAUGGAUGAGUGUAAACAAAAUGCGUGUUUACUAAAAUUCAUGAAUAAACUUCUUCUAAUAGAAAAUACAGGAUUGGGGAACAACCCCUCCAAGAACACAAAACAGGAAACCGACAAGACAAACAGGAAAUGCAGAGGGUUAAAUAAUAAACAUAAUUAGGGAAAUCAAAAACGGGUGUACACAAUAAAG